UACAGAGGGUGCAAGCGUUGUUCGGAAUUAUUGGGCGUAAAGCGCGUGUAGGCGGCUUUGCAAGUCGGGUGUGAAAGCCCUGGGCUCAACCCAGGAAGUGCGCCCGAAACUGCAUUGCUUGAGUACCGGAGAGGGUGGCGGAAUUCCCCAAGUAGAGGUGAAAUUCGUAGAUAUGGGGAGGAACACCGGUGGCGAAGGCGGCCACCUGGACGGAUACUGACCGCUGAGACGCGAAAGCGUGGGUAGCAAACAGG
rnacentral:rRNA from 1 species